rnacentral:rRNA from 1 species
UACGUAGGGUGCGAGCGUUGUCCGGAUUUAUUGGGCGUAAAGGGCUCGUAGGCGGCGUGUCGCGUCGGGGAGUGAAAGCCCGCUGCUUAACGGCGGGUUGGCUUCCGGUACGGGCAUCGCUGGAGUGCGGCAGGGGAGACUGGAAUUCCUGGUGUAGCGGUGGAAUGCGCAGAUAUCAGGAGGAACACCAAUGGCGAAGGCAGCUCGCUGGGACGGUACUGACGCUGAGACGCGAAAGCGUGGGGAGCAAACAGG